rnacentral:rRNA from 1 species
AGUGUAGGCGGGAUCGUAAGUUAGGAGUUUAAUGCAUGGGCUUAACCCAUGACCUGCUUUUAAUACUGCGGUUCUUGAGUAUGGGAGAGGGCGAUGGAAUUCCAGGUGUAGCGGUGGAACGCGUAGAUAUCUGGAAGAACACCAGUAGCGAAGGCGGUCGCCUGGCCCAAUACUGACGCUGAUGCUCGAAAGCUAGGGAGCAAACAGGAUUAGAUACCCUGGUAGUCCUAGCCGUAAACGAUGGACACUAGUUGCUGGAGGAGUCAAUCCUUUCAGUGACGAAGCUAACGCAUUAAGUGUCCCGCCUGGGGAGUACGCUCGCAAGGGUGAA